rnacentral:rRNA from 1 species
GGGAAGUAAAAGUCGUAACAAGGUUUCCGGUAAGCUCGAGCCCCUAUCUCCCCUGUGACGAUCGCUAACAGCCCUAACAGUAGGUGAACCUGCGGAAGGAUCAUUACCGAGCCCUGCCCUUCGGGGUAGAUCUCCCAACCUUGCUUAAUCUCCCCUGUUGCUUUGGCGAGUCGUCCUCACGGCCAUCGGCUUCGGCUGGUGCGUGCUCGCCAGAGGCCCUAAACGCUGAAUUGUAGUGUUGUCUGAGUCCCAUAUAAUUAUUAAAACUUUCAACAACGGAUCUCUUGGCUCUGGCAUCGAUGAAGAACGCAGCGAAAUGCGAUAAGUAAUGUGAAUUGCAGAAUUCAGUGAAUCAUCGAAUCUUUGAACGCACAUUGCGCGCCCUGGUAUUCCGGGGCGCAUGCCUGUCCGAGCGUCAUUACGCCCCUCAAGCUCGUGCUUGGUCUUGGAUCGUGCCAGCAAUGGCAGGUCCUAAAUACAGUGGCGGCACCGCCCGGCCCCGAGCGCAGUAACUAACUCUCGCUAUGAGGUCGGGUGGAGGUCGAGCCAGCAAACCCCAACUCUUUCGUUGGACCUCGGAUCAGGUAGGAUUACCCGCUGAACUUAAG